ensembl:lncRNA
AAUACAUCUAGCCCAGGGAGAGCAGCGCCAUUCAAACAGUGAUCGUCAGGGGAAGAACAGCUUAUUUAAGAGCUCUUAUACUGCAGAAUAAGUAUAAUGGAUACGGGCAGUCUCCACAGACAAGAUGAUCAGAAAAUGAUACCCAGACAGGUUCUGCUGACGGCAACCUGCAAUUGAAUGGCUGCAGAAGCUGCCACCCUGGAUCACAAGGACAUCAGCCGCCUCUACCUAAUCAGUGCACUAGCUCCCUCCAUAAACAAAACACUCUCCUUGUCUAUAUUCAUUUAAGACUGUUUGUGUCUUCUCUCAAAACUUGUGCCCUACUUAUUCCAGGAGCUGAAAUUGAUUGAGUUGCCUUCUGUUUGUUUUACAUCUCUAAACAAGUGCACAGGAGAGAAGGAAUCGCUUUGGAUCCUGCGUACUGAUCGAUCCUUCUGUUAAGCAGGCAGGCAGAGAUGCCAACGAAAUGGAACUCAUGCUAACAACACCCAGACAAAGCCAGAGGUGAGCAGUCAACUUCACUGCUGAGCAAAAUAUGAAGGAAAUACAACAUUAUAAGCAGCCAUGAAUUAAUUUCUUGUCAGUGGGUAACCCACACUGAAUUUUUUUGCAGAUGACAGGAACAGCAAAAGCCACAAUGUAGAUUUCCUUGUGUUUAUGGAAGAAAAGGAAAGUAACAGACCCUGAGUAACAUGAGGACUUGGAGAAAUCCUGUAAUACAUGACCCUCUGCCAGCAAAGAAAAGCUGAACUUUCUCUGACCAACAUGAGAAAAGAUGACCUUUCCAACACAUCACAUCCUGAGUGAUGAAGAGCUGCCCACUAUCCCUGUGCACUGGGGCAGAGAAGCACAGAGACCAGCUCACUGUGCACCAUGGAAAGCCACUGUAGUGAAAAGCCACUACAGUUCUGCUCUGGGGAGAGAGAAACACUAAUCAAACAGUAGUUUGUCUGCCAAAAGAGCAAGAAGGAUCAGCUCUCUGCGUUUGCAAUCACUGUUUAUAUAGCCAAAGACUAACUCAGAGGACAAAAAGCCAAAUAAAUGUAGCAAUAAGAUUUAGAUUCCCUUCUUGUAGACAGAAGUGGGAGCCAUAUUAAAUUUACUCACAUGCUCUCAAUGCAGCACAAUGGGCACACUGUAUUUUAGAAAAGGCUUUGGUUGUUUUCACAGCAGGACUGAAGGGCUUGCCUUCAGCUCCAGUGUUAAUACCCACGUUCAUCAAUUAAUUCAUUCCUUAAAUGUGCAAAAACUAUCUUAUCAAACAGAGGGAAUACACAAAACUAACUACAAAAUGCUCAUUAUUUCUUAAAAACUGAUCUUCACUUUCACUAGAAUAAAAUCCAUCAACAUUUAAACUCGCUUAUAUUUAUGAAGUUAAAAGCAUAGUCUUUGACUAUCAGACUACAAUUCAUUCUCACUUAUUAGGAUCUUAACAAAUCAAAGUAAUGCAAGCAAACUUUUGCUUCUUCAUGCAGAGUAUGAAGUAUUCUCACAGUACAACCUUCCUGCAAAUGUUUGUUCCUUGCCAAGUCUUGCACCACAGUACACUUUAAUUAGACCAAACAAAGCUGACAUCCUGCAUGCUUCCCAGGUGAACACAUUUUCAAAUAAAGAUUAGGGGCCCGAUGCUUUUUCUAGCACAUGCACAGCAUUCAACGCUAACGAAAAACUUAGAAUCACAGAAAUUCCUUUCUUUAAAAACCAAUAUGCGGUUCACAUAAGGAAACACAACUGUCAACGGGGGAAAAAAAAAAAAAAAAAAACACAUUAUAGCCUCUAGGUAAGACAGUGGUGGCUUACUGCAUGCUAUAGCACGGAAAUAUUUAAUGCUCAAACUUGGAAUUAUCUCCAGUACUGCCUGAAAGAAAACAGAGAACCUUGCCACUCUAGCAAUAUAAAGGAGGAGACGUACACACAUACCUGGGAUAGAGACACAUACCUGUGCAAUUCAGCCAGAAGUUGUACUUUUCAUGUCCUUACUCCAAAGUUAUUUAGUGCAGCCCUCAAUGCCUGUCAAAAAAAAAAAAAAUCCUUUUUCUACAACCUAUUAACAUAGAAACCUAUCUCUACCACUCCAGUGCUUAGGAGCAGUAACCCCUGCAUUAGGAGCAGGUUACAAACGCUUAGAUAUCCUGCAGAGGGGACGCACCAUAGUCCACGUUUUGCACCAUCUCUUUACACCAGUUAAACCCAGCGCCAAGAAUAGCAAAGCCCUGGAGCAUGGCUUGGGGUCUUCACUGCAAUGGUAAUACAAAGAAAUGACAGUAGCAAUGCUUCUACCCCCAAAAGAACCUAAGAAUUACAUCUUUAUAUUGCUUUGUGCACAGAACUCUAUUUUGUAGAAACAUAGCCUAUUCAUAACAUUUUAUGGAGAGUAACGUUUCUUUCCCUCAGUUGGCUUUUAAUGCUGGACACCUGCCUCACAGAUGGGAAAGAGUUGGAAAGAAUCAAAUCAAAAGUAUUUUUAAGCUCCCUAAAAUCAUUCAAUAACUUUCUGUGC